UACGGGGGGAGCAAGCGUUGUUCGGAUUUACUGGGCGUAAAGGGCGCGUAGGCGGACAGUUUAGUCAGAGGUGAAAGCCCAGGGCUCAACCUUGGAAUUGCCUUUGAUACUGGCUGUCUUGAGUACGGGAGAGGUGAGUGGAACUCCGAGUGUAGAGGUGAAAUUCGUAGAUAUUCGGAAGAACACCAGUGGCGAAGGCGACUCACUGGCCCGUUACUGACGCUGAGGCGCGAAAGCGUGGGGAGCAAACAGG
rnacentral:rRNA from 1 species